CAUGCAGUCGAGCGGUUGAGGGAAGCUUGCUUCCUGAUUCAGCGGCGGACGGGUGAKUAAUGCCUAGGAAUCUGCCUGGUAGUGGGGGACAACGUUUCGAAAGGAACGCUAAUACCGCAUACGUCCUACGGGAGAAAGCAGGGGACCUUCGGGCCUUGCGCUAUCAGAUGAGCCUAGGUCGGAUUAGCUAGUUGGUGAGGUAAUGGCUCACCAAGGCGACGAUCCGUAACUGGUCUGAGAGGAUGAUCAGUCACACUGGAACUGAGACACGGUCCAGACUCCUACGGGAGGCAGCAGUGGGGAAUAUUGGACAAUGGGCGAAAGCCUGAUCCAGCCAUGCCGCGUGUGUGAAGAAGGUCUUCGGAUUGUAAAGCACUUUAAGUUGGGAGGAAGGGCAGUCAGCGAAUACCUUGCUGUCUUGACGUUACCGACAGAAUAAGCACCGGCUAACUCUGUGCCAGCAGCCGCGGUAAUACAGAGGGUGCAAGCGUUAAUCGGAAUUACUGGGCGUAAAGCGCGCGUAGGUGGUUUGUUAAGUUGAAUGUGAAAUCCCCGGGCUCAACCUGGGAACUGCAUCCAAAACUGGCAAGCUAGAGUAGGGCAGAGGGUGGUGGAAUUUCCUGUGUAGCGGUGAAAUGCGUAGAUAUAGGAAGGAACACCAGUGGCGAAGGCGACCACCUGGGCUCAUACUGACACUGAGGMGCGAAAGCGUGGGGAGCAAACAGGAUUAGAUACCCUGGUAGUCCACGCCGUAAACGAUGUCAACUAGCCGUUGGGAGUCUUGAACUCUAGUGGCGCAGCUAACGC
rnacentral:rRNA from 1 species